rnacentral:rRNA from 1 species
UACGUAGGGUGCAAGCGUUGUCCGGAAUCAUUGGGCGUAAAGCGCGUGUAGGCGGCUUGUUAAGUCCGCUCUGAAAGCCCGGGGCUCAACCCCGGGAGGCGGGUGGAUACUGGCAAGCUCGAGUCCGGAAGAGGCGAGUGGAAUUCCUGGUGUAGCGGUGAAAUGCGCAGAUAUCAGGAGGAACACCAAUGGCGAAGGCAGCUCGCUGGGACGUGACUGACGCUGAGACGCGAAAGCGUGGGGAGCAAACAGG